UACGUAGGGUGCAAGCGUUGUCCGGAAUUAUUGGGCGUAAAGAGCUCGUAGGCGGUUUGUCGCGUCUGCUGUGAAAACCCGAGGCUCAACCUCGGGCCUGCAGUGGGUACGGGCAGACUAGAGUGCGGUAGGGGAGAUUGGAAUUCCUGGUGUAGCGGUGGAAUGCGCAGAUAUCAGGAGGAACACCAAUGGCGAAGGCAGAUCUCUGGGCCGUAACUGACGCUGAGGAGCGAAAAGCAUGGGGGAGCGAACAGG
rnacentral:rRNA from 1 species